AAUUCUAGAGGCAAAAAUAAAAGGGGUUGAUGUUCAACAUUUUUCCAAAAUGAUAAAAAUAAAGGGGUUAAAAAAUAAAUUAAAAGAGAAAAAUAAAAGGGAAAAAUAAAAUAAAUAAAAAUGACAUAGAAUGCAAAAUAAUGGUCAGGAUGCACUCCUUAGGUUCGAAUCCCUGACCUUGGGGUCAUGGGUGAACCUAGCCCCUCCCACACUAGGCUAAUGGCCCAAU
rnacentral:lncRNA from 1 species